rnacentral:snRNA from 11 species
AUAUUACCUGGCAGGGAAGAUACCAUGAACAAGAAGUUGGUUUCCCAGGGCAAGUCUCCCUAUUUGGGUGAGCUGAUUGCUGUGAUUUCUCCUAUUACAAGAAACUUGGCUAAAUCAUUUAUGAUAGUGGGAGACUGUGUUCAUGCUCUCUUCUA